UAAGCAUAUCAAUAAGCGGAGGAAAAGAAACCAACAGGGAUUGCCCUAGUAACGGCGAGUGAAGCGGCAACAGCUCAAAUUUGAAAUCUGGCUUCGGCCCGAGUUGUAAUUUGCAGAGGAAGCUUUAGGCGCGGCACCUUCUGAGUCCCCUGGAACGGGGCGCCAUAGAGGGUGAGAGCCCCGUAUAGUUGGAUGCCUAGCCUGUGUAAAGCUCCUUCGACGAGUCGAGUAGUUUGGGAAUGCUGCUCAAAAUGGGAGGUAAAUUUCUUCUAAAGCUAAAUACCGGCCAGAGACCGAUAGCGCACAAGUAGAGUGAUCGAAAGAUGAAAAGCACUUUGAAAAGAGGGUUAAAUAGCACGUGAAAUUGUUGAAAGGGAAGCGCUUGUGACCAGACUUGCGCCGGGCGGAUCAUCCGGUGUUCUCACCGGUGCACUCCGCCCGGCUCAGGCCAGCAUCGGUUCUCGCGGGGGGAUAAAGGUCUCGGGAACGUAGCUCCUCCGGGAGUGUUAUAGCCCGGGGCGUAAUGCCCUCGCGGGGACCGAGGUUCGCGCAUCUGCAAGGAUGCUGGCGUAAUGGUCAUCAGCGACCCGUCUUGAAACACGGACCAAGGAGUCAAGGUUUUGCGCGAGUGUUUGGGUGUAAAACCCGCACGCGUAAUGAAAGUGAACGUAGGUGAGAGCUUCGGCGCAUCAUCGACCGAUCCUGAUGUUUUCGGAUGGAUUUGAGUAGGAGCGUUAAGCCUUGGACCCGAAAGAUGGUGAACUAUGCUUGGAUAGGGUGAAGCCAGAGGAAACUCUGGUGGAGGCUCGCAGCGGUUCUGACGUGCAAAUCGAUCGUCAAAUCUGAGCAUGGGGGCGAAAGACUAAUCGAACCAUCUAGUAGCUGGUUACCGCCGAA
rnacentral:rRNA from 1 species